UACGUAGGGAGCAAGCGUUGUCCGGAAUCAUUGGGCGUAAAGCGCGCGUAGGCGGCCUCAUAAGUCCGUUGUGAAAGUCAAAGGCUCAACCUUUGAAAGCCGAUGGAUACUGUGAGGCUAGAGUCCGGAAGAGGCGAGUGGAAUUCCCGGUGUAGUGGUGAAAUGCGUAGAUAUCGGGAGGAACACCAGUGGCGAAGGCGACUACCUGGCCUGUUCUUGACGCUGAGGCGCGAAAGCUAGGGGAGCAAACGGG
rnacentral:rRNA from 1 species